GCAGUCGAACGAAGUAGCAAUACUUAGUGGCAGACGGGUGAGUAACAUGUAGGUAUCUUCCCUUUGGCCUGGAAUAACACGAGGAAACUUGUGCUAAUACUGGAUAAGUCUUUACGGAGAAAGCUUUAUGCACCAUUGGAUGAGCCUGCACUUGAUUAGUUUGUUGGUGGGGUAAUGGCCUACCAAGACUUUGAUCAAUAGCUGAUUUGAGAGGAUGAUCAGCCACAUUGGGACUGAGACACGGCCCAAACUCCUACGGGAGGCAGCAGUGGGGAAUCUUGCACAAUGGAGGAAACUCUGAUGCAGCGAUGCCGCGUGAGUGAAGAAGGCCUUUGGGUUGUAAAGCUCUUUCGUCGGGGAAGAAAAUGACUGUACCCGAAUAAGAAGGUCCGGCUAACUUCGUGCCAGCAGCCGCGGUAAUACGAAGGGACCUAGCGUAGUUCGGAAUUACUGGGCUUAAAGAGUUCGUAGGUGGUUGAAAAAGUUGGUGGUGAAAUCCCAGAGCUUAACUCUGGAACUGCCAUCAAAACUUUUCAGCUAGAGUUUGAUAGAGGAAAGCAGAAUUUCUAGUGUAGAGGUGAAAUUCGUAGAUAUUAGAAAGAAUACCAAUUGCGAAGGCAGCUUUCUGGAUCAUUACUGACACUGAGGAACGAAAGCAUGGGUAGCGAAGAGGAUUAGAUACCCUCGUAGUCCAUGCCGUAAACGAUGUGUGUUAGACGUUGGAAAUUUAUUUUCAGUGUCGCAGCGAAAGCGAUA
rnacentral:rRNA from 1 species